UACCGACGUUUUUAUUUAAAAAAAAAAAUACUAUUGUAAUUUUACUUAAUUUUUUUUUGUUUCUCAUUUAAGUUUUUGUUUGGUAAAAACUAAAAAAAAAAAUACAAUUAUUGUAUUAUUGCAUUUUUUUUUCUUUUUUUGUUUUUUUUUUUUUUUUUUUUUUUUUUUUUUUUUUUUUUUUUUUUUUUUUUAUUUAUUUAAGUUAACAAACAGUGUUCACAAUAAAGUUUUACAUAACAGACUUACAAUACAAACAUUAUUAAUCGUGACACCAACACCGUCAACUCCAGAUUACAAUUUUAUAAUAGUAAAAAAUGCACAUCAAGGUAAAGAAAUGGUAGGUAUCUAAUAUACAUAAUACAUCACAAAUACAUUUUUUCCCUAAAUACCAUCAACCAAA
rnacentral:misc_RNA from 1 species